rnacentral:rRNA from 1 species
UGGGAAUAUUGCGCAAUGGAGGCAACUCUGACGCAGCCAUGCCGCGUGUGUGAAGAAGGCCCUCGGGUUGUAAAGCACUUUCAAUUGGGAGAAAAAUGCUUGUCGUUAAUAGCGGCAAGCCUUGAUGUUACCUUUAGAAGAAGCACCGGCUAACUCCGUGCCAGCAGCCGCGGUAAUACGGAGGGUGCGAGCGUUAAUCGGAAUUACUGGGCGUAAAGCGCGCGUAGGCGGUUGCUUAAGUCGGAUGUGAAAGCCCCGGGCUCAACCUGGGAACUGCAUUCGAUACUGGGCGACUAGAGUACGAGAGAGGGAGGUAGAAUUCCACGUGUAGCGGUGGAAUGCGCAGAUAUCAGGAGGAACACCGGUGGCGAAGGCGGGUCUCUGGGCCGGAACUGACGCUGAGGAGCGAAAGCGUGGGGAGCGACAGGAUUAGAUACCCGUGGUAGUCC